GGGGUUUCGUACGUAGCAGAGCA
rnacentral:piRNA from 2 species